UACGAACCGUACAAACGUUAUUCGGAAUCAUUGGGCGUAAAGCGCGCGUAGGCGGUUACACAAGUUGGAUGUGAAAGCCCUCGGCUUAACUGAGGAAGUGCAUCCAAAACUGUGCAGCUAGAGUACUAAAGAGGGUCGCGGAAUUCCCGGUGUAGAGGUGAAAUUCGUAGAUAUCGGGAGGAACACCGGUGGCGAAGGCGGCGACCUGGGUAGAUACUGACGCUGAGGCGCGAAAGCGUGGGGAGCAAACAGG
rnacentral:rRNA from 1 species